GACGUAGGGCGCGAGCGUUGUCCGGAUUUAUUGGGCGUAAAGAGCUCGUAGGCGGCUUGUCGCGUCGUCCGUGAAAACCCACAGCUCAACUGUGGGCUUGCGGUCGAUACGGGCAGGCUAGAGUUCGGUAGGGGAGACUGGAAUUCCUGGUGUAGCGGUGAAAUGCGCAGAUAUCAGGAGGAACACCGGUGGCGAAGGCGGUUCUCUGGGCAUUCCCUGACGCUGAGGAGCGAAAGCGUGGGGAGCGAACAGG
rnacentral:rRNA from 1 species